rnacentral:misc_RNA from 1 species
UUUCCGUAGGUGAACCUGCGGAAGGAUCAUUAUUGUAUAACCGAGGUGCGAGGGCUGUCGCUGACCCGAAAGGUCGUGCACGCCCGAGUGCCCUCACACACAUCCAUCUCACCCCUAUGUGCACCACCGCGUGGGUGCCCCUUUGGCUUGUUCGGAGGGGGGCUUACGUUUUCACACAAACUUUGUAUGCAGUGUAGAAUGUAUUUUUUGUUUUUGCGAUCACGCAAUCAAUACAACUUUCAACAACGGAUCUCUUGGCUCUC